rnacentral:lncRNA from 1 species
AGACUUCCGGUAUGUAUUUUUCCCAAACCGGAAGACUUCAAAAAUGACUUCCGGAACACACAAAGCAAUGAACCAGAAGAUUUCACGAAAGAGUUCUGGUUCAAUCAGAAAAAAGUUACAAACCGGAACACUUCUUGAAAGACUUUCGGUAAACAAAUUUACACAUACCGGAACUCUUUGAAGAAGUGUUCCGUUUGCUUUUUGUUUUUUUUAUUUUUUUUUUAAUCUGUUUUUU